rnacentral:misc_RNA from 1 species
CUUCUUCUUCUUCUUCUUCUUCCCAUUGAUUUUGUGCUGAGUGAUUGAAAUGGGUACACUUGAUUUGGCGAUCUAAAUCGCGUGCCCAAGCGAUUUAGGACUUAAACAUUCCGUGAAUUGGAACGCAUGACCCAAAUCGUGGAACCCAUGGGGAAUUGGCGAAUCUGGUAACUAUGAUCUAAAAUUGGUUGACAUUCAGAAUUUCUAUAAUGGGUUGCUACCAUCAACAAGGAGCACCAUUAAUACAACAGCUAAUGAAGAUCUAAUGGAAAAGGUAGCUAUUGAAGCCUACAAUCUCCUUGAGCGGGUUGCCUAUCACAACAAUGAGCGGGCCAAUGAAAGAAGAGACAUAACAAAACCAGCUGGAGUGCUUGAACUGGAUGCAUUGAGCAUGAUCAAUGCUCAAUUUGAUCAACUGACAAAGAGGUUAAAUAGGUUGAGUGCUAGCGCUGCCGGAGCUAGUAACUUGGUACGUGAUCAUUGUGGAAGAGGACAUUAGAGUUUAGAAUGCAAUUAUUACAAUAAUCCUUCUUCACAACAGUUGAACUACGUUAAUAAUGGUGUGAAUUUCAACCAGGGAUUGGGCGAAAAUCCUUACUCAAAUGCUUAU